GAUUAUGGCUCAGGAUGAACGCUGGCGGCGUGCCUAAUACAUGCAAGUCGAACGAGGUAGCAAUACCGAGUGGCGAACGGGUGAGUAACACGUAGGUAACCUGCCCUUAAGCUUGGGAUACCCAGAGGAAACUUUGGCUAAUACCGGAUAACAACAGAGAAGGCAUCUUCUUUGUUUGAAAGGCCCCUUCAAGGGUCACUUAAGGAUGGACCUGCGGCGCAUUAGCUAGUUGGUGAGAUAACAGCCCACCAAGGCGAGGAUGCGUAGCCGAACUGAGAGGUUGAUCGGCCACAUUGGAACUGAGACACGGUCCAAACUCCUACGGGAGGCAGCAGUAAGGAGUUUUCGGCAAUGGGGGAAACCCUGACCGAGCAACGCCGCGUGAGCGAUGACGGCCCUAAUGGGUUGUAAAGCUCUGUUGUAAGCCAUGAAUGAUAGCUUUAGGAAAUGAAAGCUAUUUGACGACAGCUUACCAGAAAGCCGCGGCUAACUACGUGCCAGCAGCGGC
rnacentral:rRNA from 1 species